rnacentral:lncRNA from 1 species
GGAGCGAGGCGAGGCGGGGUGUGGCGGUGAGGACUGGGGUGCGGGGUCUGAGGGCGGGGACUGAUGUCCUGAGAGCUUUUUGCAGAAACUAUCCGGAACCCAGGUAGGCUUCUGAGAGUCCCGAAGGACUUCUCGGGGGAGGCGCCCGGCCGCUGCUUCUGCCCACUUCGCUCCUCUCCUCGCUCAGGGCUACCCGCGUGCCAUGCACCCGGCCCGCGACCACGCUUCUCCGGGCCCUCCAUGACGCCUCCGGUGCACCGUGGUGAAAGUCUGGAGCGAAUCGCCUUUUCACUGGCAAAAACAAUUUCUUGCUGCCUUGGUCCACAUCUUCGACCCCUGCCCUCCCCCAGCUCGGCCGCAGCGCCGGCCCUCGAAGCGUGCAGAGCCCCUUAGGGCCUCGCGGGCCAGAGCGCCCCGCACGCUGCUCGUCGCGCAAGGAGUGGGGCCACCGGGCAGGGAUCAUUCUGAUCCUCCACGGUCAACUCAGACACCCGACCCCGCCAGCCCAGCCCACCAGAGGCCAAACAGACUUGAAUAAUUUAUCUUGAAAGCACUUAAUGUGAUUAAAAGCCGAAAAACAAGACUUGUUUAUCUGUGAAAUAGCUAAGCAAGAAAAACAUCCUGUAUGAAGUGAAUUUCAAGACCAAAUGGAAGAAGGUGAUGGAGUUGGCAGAGGGAAAGAGCAAAGGAUUCCAAAUAGCAGCAUCUCAGCUUGGGAGGAUCAAAGUCUGUAAAGAAAGCAAAUGCAUUUGCUUCAACUGCAGUAUGUGGAUUUCAUCCUGGAGGAAGAACAAAGCUUCAGAGAUGUGGCUGGAAAUUGAUUAAGAGUGCCCAGCAGCAGCAGCAUGGCAGGGACAAAGCUUGAACCAGGUCUUCUAGUUCCACACUCUAGUCACUACCUCUAGGACCUGGAUUAAACACACAGCCUUUUACGCCCAUCUCUGCUCUCCAGUUCUUUCCUUCCUCGGAAUCCUGCAAAUCUACCAGAUCACCUCUCCUCUUCCCAUUUUUGUCAAGGCAGUCCUCAGUUCAGAACCCAGAAGGACUACAGAGAUCUACAGAAUUGCAAAUUGUCUGUACAGGUCAGUCCUAAUCAGACAUUAGGACCCUCCCGAGAUUCAGCCCUGGCUGCACAGCUUGUCUGCUUAAGUGACCUGGAGCAAGCUCCCUAACUGCUUUGAGCCUCAGUCUUCUCAUUCAGAAAAUGAAGAUGACACCUAAGUCAAAGGAGUGAUACAAGAAUUAAAUGUGAUGAUGUGAGGGUUGGAUUUGUAGCUGUGCCCUCUGUAAGAUAGGUAUGUAGCUUUGUGCAUGAAACAGAAAACCCACUUCGUGUGGGCUUCUCAGUCCAAGCAAGCCAUGAUCCUCUCCCUCCUAAGUUCUAAAUAAGUACAAACUGGAUAGGUGAAUUGAUUCAUCUAAAAAUAGAACCAACCACAAAGAAUAUCAAAAAAUACCAAAUAUCAGAUACCAAAAUUCAUUGAAAAAUUGUCACCUUUACCUGCUAACCCUAGGUUGAAGCCAAAUUUCUCCAUCACUUUGCAGUGCACAACUGGAUAUGUUUGGGAACUCUGAACACCUUGUUUGCCCCCAAAGCUUUAGAAAUAAAAAUAAGCUGGGAGCACUAUGGUUCCAUACAGUUUGUCAACUCCAGCCAGGCAUGGUGGUGAAUGCCUAUAAUCCCAGCACUCAGGAGGCUGAGGCAGGAGGAUCACCACAAGUUUGAGCACAACCUAGGCUACCUAGUGAGUUCAAGGCCAGCCUGAACUACAGAGUGAGACCCUGUUUCAAAAAACAAAAAUAAAAAUAAAAAGCCCUUGCUCUGUUGUUAAUUCAUAGCUGCACAUAUUUCUGUUUACAUCAGUUUCUCAGUCUCUACAGAAUCAGUAGAUUCUGUUACUAAAAGGCAGCUUUUUGUGGAGCCUGGCACAAUGGUGCACAUUUAUUUAUAAGCCCAGCUACUCGGGAAGCUGAGGGAGGAAGAUCCCAGGUUCAAGGGUAGUCCGGGCACUUUAGUGAGCCCUUGUCUCCAAACUAGAAAGGGUUAAAAAAAAAAACAAAAAAAAAAACUAGAAAGGGUUGGGACCAGGGUUUUAACUCUGGUUCUGCUGCCUGCUUUGCAAAUGCAAGGUCCCAAGUUCGAUCCCUGGUACCAAAAAAAAAAAACCCUAGAAAGGGUUGGCGAUGUAGCUCAGCACUGCCUGGGUUCAAUCUCUAAUACCACAGAAAAGAGAAUUCUAAUUUUAGUCAGGCAUGAUGUCCCACACCUAUAGUCCCAACUAUUCUUGAGCCUGGGGCAGGAGUUUGAAAUCAGCCUGGAUUUAGUGAGACCUUAAUCUAAAAAAAAAAUAAAUUGCCCAAAAUGGGUUCAGACUUGAGGUCCUCCUGCCUCAGCCUCCCACAGUGCUGGGAUUAUAAGUGUGCUCCACCCCAUGACCGGCUCAGACCAUAAUGUCACUGUAUAAUCAUUAAUAGCAAAAAUACUUUUGGUGUAUUACAGAGCAGCCCGAACUUGUUUAUUUUCACCCAGACCUCCCAUCCUCCUGCUGAAAGAUUGGAACGACCACUCUCCCCACCACUUCACCAGUGGCCCUUGCUCCACACAAGGACCAACCCCUUUCUAAAAUGCUUUUUUUUUUUGGUACUGGGGAUCGAACUCAGGACCUUGUACUUUCAAGGCAGGGGCGGUGCCGCUGAGCUAAAUCCCCAGCCCAACCAAGGGCUUUCUAGAUGGUGUAUGCAUCAGCUUUCCACAGAAUCACCCUUGUUGUUACCCUCAUUUUACAGCUGAAGAAGUGUGGCUUUAAUGGCUUACAGGACUUGCCCAGGGCCCCACUGUUCUGCAGGCUUCUUGCCUCAGGCCUCAGGCCAGCUCUCAGCCAGCUCCCCUUGGCCACACAUCCAGCACUUCAAGGGAGAGAAGAGCAAGCUAGGUGGUACCAGAGGGAGCAAUCAGACAGAUGGAGAUUAAAAGUCACUUUCAUAUGUGGAAAUAUUUAAGAAUAACAAUGUCUGAUAUUUCCUUCAAAAUGAGCAAGGGCUGGGCUGGGUGUAGCUCAGGUAAAGCACUUGCCUAGCAUGCACAAGUGCCUGGGUUCAAUCCCCAGAACCACAAAAGUAAUUAAUAAUAAUAAUUAAGGUCAGUGGCGAGUGGAGUGGAGACACAGAUGAAACAGCUUUGGUCACAAGUCAGUAAUUGUUGAGCUGGGUGAGGAGGCUCGUUAUCAUUAAGUACUCUACUUUUGCAUAUAUUU